UGCAAGUUCAUUCAUGUCAAUGAAAAUGUUGUGAGAGAUGAUGCUGGUCAUUGGAUUUGGUCAAUGUACUUUUAAUCUUGGCUCCAGGAAUGCUAUGCCAUUUGCAAAGGAACAGAGGUUAGGUGAACAACUUGCUGAAGCAGAAUACUGCCAGUGCUUCAGAGAUGGACAAAGAACACUGUCAGACUAUGGACAAAUGCUUUAAGAAAGGAGGGGGAGCUGCCACUCAGGAAUGCACGUUGGCUGUUGCAAUAUAAAUGUGACAUGUACAUGCUCCUGUAACAAUCCAAAGCUGGCUGCAGAUCAACAACAUUAAAAAACCCCAGGAAAACCCCAAACAUACUGAGACAAAUAUCUGUUUAAUCUUCUUCAUUAUGAUAAUCAAAGGUGUUGUAGGCUGGUCUGACAUGCAUGCAUUCCUUUACAUGUAUUUCAAUCUCUUUAAACAGACAGUGAAAACAAAAUUAUUAACUGAGGUCCAGAUUUGGCAAUGUUUCACCUUUUUUUUUUUGAGAGCCAGAUUCUGAUGCUACUCAGUGCAAGUUCAUCAUACUUUGAGCUAAAUCAUGGGCUGGCUUGAACAUCACAGAAUGCAGUUAGUACAAGAGGGGAAAUGAGGGAGUUAAGUUCCCCUCUCUAAAUGAAGGGGAGAGGAAGAAUGCAGGGACAUUUUGUUCUGCCAUACCCCAGUGCAUUCAGCAGUUCAGGAGAGCCUGCAUAUCAUGGAACAUAAAGUAUUCUAGAACUAUUGUAUGGAUGUUUACUUUCUUUUUGGAGUGACAGAGGAAAGAAGGUGACAAUGACUUGAAGACUGGUUCAGGGGCAGCACUUUUUGCUCAGGGCAGAUUAUAGUUAGGCACUCAUCCUCUGUAAGUAGCGCUGUUGACUCAUGGAAGAAGGCAACAUGCUCAUUGUGAAUAUGGGUGUCAGAAUUUUGCCCUAUGUACUUUUGUGACAAUGUCCUACCAACCCACUCAGAGAUAGCUUUUAAUAUACUAAACAAAACUAUUUGAAAAUAAUUUUUAUGAGCAAACACCAUGCUGACUCACAAUAAUACAUUUUAUUGCUUAGUAA